rnacentral:rRNA from 1 species
AAGCUGUGGAAGCACAUUUCUUGUGUGACCGCGUACUUUUUGUAGAACGGGCCAACGAGUUACGUUAAGUAGCAAGGUUAAGCACUUAAGGUGCGGAGCCGUAGCGAAAGCGAGUUUUAACUGAGCGUUCAGUUACGUGACGUAGACCCGAAACCGGGCGACCUACCCAUGAGCAGGAUGAAGCGAAAGUAAAAUUUCGUGGAGGUCCGAACCCACGAGCGUUGAAAAGCUCGGGGAUGACUUGUGGGUAGCGGUGAAAUUCCAAUCGAGCCCGGAGAUAGCUGGUUCUCCCCGAAAUAGCUUUAGGGCUAGCCUCAAGGUGAGAGAUACGGAGGUAGAGCACUGAAUGUCCUAGGGGGUAUUGCACCUACCGAAGACUAUCAAACUCCGAAUGCCGUCAUCUUAUACUUGGGAGUCAGACUGUGGGUGAUAAGAUUCAUAGUCGAAAGGGCAACAGCCCAGAUCGUCAGCUAAGGUCCCUAAAUGUAAGUUAAGUGGUAAAGGAUGUGGGAUUGCACAGACAACCAGGAUGUUGGCUUAGAAGCAGCCACUCAUUCAAAGAGUGCGUAAUAGCUCACUGGUCGAGUGAUCCUGCGCCGAAGAUUUCCGGGGCUAAAACUUACUACCGAAGCUACGGCAUCAGUAAUGAUGGGUAGGGGAGCUUCCCAUACGGGUUGAAGCAUGACCGUAAGGACAUGUGGACAGUAUGGGAGUGAGAAUGUUGGCAUGAGUAGCGAGAUGUGGGUG